CCGGGUACAGUGGGUACUGAGCCGGGCGACCGGCGCUUUACCUUACUACCUUCCACCCUCCGUAAACCCGUCCACUUUGUUGGCGUAGGGCGUGAGCAAUCCGCCUGCCAGCAAACCUUAUAAAACUCUGCUCGAACAGUACGUAGUCUGAGUAAAAAAUUCAAAUAAAAA
rnacentral:misc_RNA from 1 species